rnacentral:rRNA from 1 species
UACAGAGGGGGCAAGCGUUGUUCGGAAUUACUGGGCGUAAAGGGCGCGUAGGCGGCCUUCUAAGUCGAACGUGAAAUCCCUGGGCUCAACCCAGGAACUGCGUCCGAUACUGGAAGGCUUGAAUCCGGGAGAGGGAUGCGGAAUUCCAGGUGUAGCGGUGAAAUGCGUAGAUAUCUGGAGGAACACCGGUGGCGAAGGCGGCAUCCUGGACCGGUAUUGACGCUGAGGCGCGAAAGCCAGGGAGCAAACGGG